CGGACACCGGCCGGCCAGGACAGCACCGUGACCUCGGGCUGACGGACGGCGGCCCGCCGUGUGCACGUCCACUGACCACUGGUGACCUUUCGAGCUGCCAGAUCGGGCCAGUACGUCGUCCAGCUCGGUCGGAACGUGUCAGUGCUACGUCGACCGGACCCAGUAUGGGGGCUCGUGUGCUCAUCGUGUUGGCUCUGGCUGUAGUGGUGUGUCAAACCGCUUCAACAAGGCGAGUAAAUCCCGGUGUUUGUCUGGACGGUGAGAGGAAGACAGACGGUUGUAACCAGUGUUCCUGCUUGGGAGGGGCCUGGGCUUGCACCCUCAGAGCCUGCGUCGACCCCGCAGAUACAUUUCCUGGAUCGCUGCCAUGCAAGCUGGCUCCCCACAUCAAAGGGUGUUGAAAAAUCCCGCGACCAUAUCAAGAAUACCUGCUUGACUAAAUUAGGCAGAACAAUUGUUGGCUGAUCAAAAAAAUGACAUUUCAACAAAGACCCGAGUUCGUAUGCAUAAUUUUUUACCUGAUUGUAUGUCUUGUAUUAUAUCUCAGGGCCAUGUUUAUGAAGUUAAGCCGUUCGUUCGUUGUUUGCGCGACUGAAUUUUUCCACUUUUAAUUGGAAAUGUAUGCGCUAAAAACGUCUGUCAGGUGAGACAAAUAUAAACGAAAU